rnacentral:rRNA from 1 species
GUCUAUGGCCAUGAUAUCCAGAACAAGCCCGAUCCUGCCUGAUCUCAGAAGCUAAGCAGGGUUAGGCCUGGUUAGUACUUAGGUGGGAGACCACCUAGGAAGAUCAGGUGCUAUAGGUG